CAUGUAAUUUAAAACACGUUCUCGUCUCGAGAAUACAUAGAACAAACAUGCCAAACACGCCAAGAAAUCACAGAACCAAGCAUACACAUAGCUCAUUACAAUUAUAAGACGGAAAAUAAANNNNNNNNNNNNNNNNNNNNCCUUACCUCGGCAAGCUUCCAACACAAUCAACUUACACUACACGAGCAAACCCGUCUCUCUCGACGAAAUCUCCAAUCCGGCUAAUUCUCUUAACCCUUAAUCAUUCAACUUAAUUAAGUUAAUACCACAUUCUAAUUGGUCAGUCAAAUAAGCCCUAGCUCGGCUACUAAUGGAUCAAGACCUAUGGUUCUUUCCUCACAACUAACUAGGCUCAAAUAAUUUUCAAAACAACUCUUUGAAAACAUUGACACUUUAAUACAAUAGUUUGCAUCACAAAAACUUCAUUAAAUAAAACUUCACUAAUUUAAAACUUUUUCGAAAACAAUAUCUUUUCAACCAAGUUCUACACUUUUCUUCAAACUAAAACAAGAUCGCAAAUGUUUAAGCCUUUUAAAACACAAU
rnacentral:lncRNA from 1 species